rnacentral:rRNA from 1 species
AACGAACGCUGGCGGCAUGCCUAACACAUGCAAGUCGAACGAGACCUUCGGGUCUAGUGGCGCAUGGGUGCGUAACGCGUGGGAAUCUGCCCUGGGGUGCGGAAUAACUCGGAGAAAUCCGUGCUAAUACCGCAUAAUGUCAUCGGACCAAAGAUUUAUCGCCCUGGGAUGAGCCCGCGUAGGAUUAGCUAGUUGGUGGGGUAAAGGCCUACCAAGGCGACGAUCCUUAGCUGGUCUGAGAGGAUGAUCAGCCACACUGGGACUGAGACACGGCCCAGACUCCUACGGGAGGCAGCAGUGGGAAUAUUGGACAAUGGGCGAAAGCCUGAUCCAGCAAUGCCGCGUGAGUGAUGAAGGCCCUAGGGUUGUAAAGCUCUUUUACCCGGGAUGAUAAUGACAGUACCGGGAGAAUAAGCUCCGGCUAACUCCGUGCCAGCAGCCGCCGUAAGAC